UACGUAGGGGGCAAGCGUUGUCCGGAUUUAUUGGGCGUAAAGCGCGUGUAGGCGGCCAGGUAGGUCCGCUGUGAAAACCCGAGGCUCAACCUCGGGACGUCGGCGGAAACCAUCUGGCUAGAGUCCGGAAGAGGAGAGUGGAAUUCCCGGUGUAGCGGUGAAAUGCGCAGAUAUCAGGAGGAACACCUAUGGCGAAGGCAGCUCGCUGGGACGGCGACUGACGCUGAGACGCGAAAGCGUGGGGAGCAAACAGG
rnacentral:rRNA from 1 species